rnacentral:rRNA from 1 species
GAUGAACGCUAGCGGCAGGCUUAACACAUGCAAGUCGAGGGGCAGCGUGGAGCAGCAAUGCUCUGACGGCGACCGGCGGAAGGGUGCGUAACACGUGAGCGACUUGCCCGUCACAGGGGGAUAACCGGCGGAAACGGCGACUAAUACCCCAUACGAUGCGAUGCUGCAUGGCAUUGCAUUGAAAGAUUCAUCGGUGGCGGAUAGGCUCGCGGGACAUUAGCUAGACGGCGGGGCAACGGCCCACCGUGGCGACGAUGUCUAGGGGUUCUGAGAGGAAGGCCCCCCCACACUGGGACUGAGACACGGCCCAAACUCCUACGGGAGGCAGCAGUGGGAAUAUUGCACAAUGGGGGAAACCCUGAUGCAGCGACGCCGCGUGAGCGAAGAAGUAUUCGGUAUGUAAACUCUAUCAGCAGGGAAGAAGAAUGACGGUACUGACUAGAAGCACGGCUAAAUACGUGCCAGCAGCCG